rnacentral:rRNA from 1 species
AGCGAACGCUGGCGGCAGGCCUAACACAUGCAAGUCGAACGAACUCUUCGGAGUUAGUGGCGGACGGGUGAGUAACACGUGGGAGCGUGCCUUUAGGUUCGGAAUAACUCAGGGAAACUUGUGCUAAUACCGAAUGUGCCCUUCGGGGGAAAGAUUUAUCGCCUUUAGAGCGGCCCGCGUCUGAUUAGCUAGUUGGUGAGGUAAAGGCUCACCAAGGCGACGAUCAGUAGCUGGUCUGAGAGGAUGAUCAGCCACAUUGGGACUGAGACACGGCCCAAACUCCUACGGGAGGCAGCAGUGGGGAAUCUUGCGCAAUGGGCGAAAGCCUGACGCAGCCAUGCCGCGUGAAUGAUGAAGGUCUUAGGAUUGUAAAAUUCUUUCACCGGGGACGAUAAUGACGGUACCCGGAGAAGAAGCCCCGGCUAACUUCGUGCCAGCCGCCGCCGUAAUAC